rnacentral:rRNA from 1 species
UACGUAGGGGGCAAGCGUUGUCCGGAAUCAUUGGGCGUAAAGCGCGCGUAGGCGGCCCGGUAAGUCCGCUGUGAAAGUCAAAGGCUCAACCUUUGAAUGUCAGCGGAUACUGCCGGGCUAGGGUCCGGAAGAGGCGAGUGGAACUCCUGGUGUAGCGGUGGAAUGCGCAGAUAUCAGGAAGAACACCAACGGCGAAGGCAGCUCGCUGGGACGGAACUGACGCUGAGGCGCGAAAGCGUGGGGAGCGAACAGG